rnacentral:rRNA from 1 species
GAUGAACGCUGGCGGCGUGCCUAAUACAUGCAAGUCGAGCGAACAGACGAGGAGCUUGCUCCUCUGACGUUAGCGGCGGACGGGUGAGUAACACGUGGAUAACCUACCUAUAAGACUGGGAUAACUUCGGGAAACCGGAGCUAAUACCGGAUAAUAUAUUGAACCGCAUGGUUCAAUAGUGAAAGACGGUUUUGCUGUCACUUAUAGAUGGAUCCGCGCCGCAUUAGCUAGUUGGUAAGGUAACGGCUUACCAAGGCGACGAUGCGUAGCCGACCUGAGAGGGUAAUCGGCCACACGGGAACUGGGCCCCGUACCAGACCCCUACGGGAGGCAGCAGUGGGGAUUCUUCCGAAAGGGGGAAAACCCUGACGGGCAAACGCCGGGUGGGUGAUAAAGGUUUUCGGAUCGUAAAACUUUGUUAUGAGGAAAAAACAAAUGUGAAAUUAACUAUGCACGUCUUGGCGGGACCAAAUAAGAAAGCCCCGGCGAACUACGU